CCUGGCGGCCAUAGCCAGCUGGACCCACCCGAUCCCAUCCCGAACUCGGAAGUGAAACGGUUGCGCGCCGAUGAUAGUGUGGUCUCCCAUGCGAAAGUAGGUCACCGCCAGGC
rnacentral:rRNA from 1 species